UUUGCUUGAAGCAGGAGGUCAAGCCCCGAAACUAGGCUUCCCCUUCUGCACACGCGCCCGAGAUAGGUUCCCACAGAAAAUAUAUUUUAAAAAAAAAUAAAAAAUAAAAAUUUGCUUGAAGCAGGAGGUCAAGCCCCGAAACUAGGCUUCCCCUUCUGCACACGCGCCCGAGAUAGGUUCCCACAGAAAAUAUAUUAUAAAAAAAAAAAAAUAAAAUUUGCUUGAAGCAGGAGGUCAAGCCCCGAAACUAGGCUUCCCCUUCUGCACACGCGCCCGAGAUAGGUUCCCACAGAAAAUAUAUUUUAAAAAAAAAAAAAUAAAAAUUUGCUUGAAGCAGGAGGUCAAGCCCCGAAACUAGGCUUCCCCUUCUGCACACGCGCCCGAGAUAGGUUCCCACAGAAAAUAUAUUUUAAAAAAAAUAAAAAAUAAAAAUUUGCUUGAAGCAGGAGGUCAAGCCCCGAAACUAGGCUUCCCCUUCUGCACACGCGCCCGAGAUAGGUUCCCACAGAAAAUAUAUU